UUCCGCAAUGGGCGACAGCCUGACGGAGCAAUGCCGCGUGAAGGAUGAAGGCCUAUGGGUUGUAAACUUCUUUUCUCAGAGAAGAAGCAUUGACGGUAUCUGAGGAAUAAGCAUCGGCUAACUCUGUGCCAGCAGCCGCGGUAAGACAGAGGAUGCAAGCGUUAUCCGGAAUGAUUGGGCGUAAAGCGUCUGUAGGUGGCUUAAAAAGUCUCCUGUCAAAGAUCAGGGCUUAACCCUGGGCCGGCAGGAGAAACUCUUAGGCUAGAGUUGGUAGGGGCAGAGGGAAUUCCCGGUGGAGCGGUGAAAUGCGUAGAGAUCGGGAGGAACACCAAAGGCGAAAGCACUCUGCUGGGCCAUAACUGACACUGAGAGACGAAAGCGAGGGGAGCAAAAGGGAUUAGAUACC
rnacentral:rRNA from 1 species